AUAGGUAUAGCUCAGCAUAGUCAGAGCACCAGCCUGAUAAGUUGAUGGCUGGUGGUUCGAAUCCAUCUCCCGCUA
rnacentral:tRNA from 1 species